rnacentral:rRNA from 1 species
AUUGAACGCUGGCGGCAGGCUUAACACAUGCAAGUCUAGCGAGCGGCGGACGGGUGCGUAAUGUCUGGGAAACUGCCUGAUGUAGGGGUAUAACUACUGGAAAUGGUAUCUAAUACCGCAUACCAUCAGAUUUUCCCAGAUGGGAUUAGCUAGUAGGUGGGGUAAUGGCUCACCUAGGCGACGAUCCCUAGCUGGCCUGAGAGGAUGAACAGCCACACUGGAACUGCGCAACGGUCGAGACUCAUACGGAAGGCAGCAGUGGAGAAUAUUGCACAAUGGGCGAAAGCCUGAUGCAGCCAUGACGCGUGUGUGAAGAAGGCCUUCGGGUUGUAAAGCACUUUCAGCGAGGAGGCGUUAAUAGCAGAAGAAGCACCGGAUAACUCCGUGCCAGCAGCCGCGGUAAUUC